rnacentral:rRNA from 1 species
CUAAAGAACCAUACAUUUUUUUUUACUUAAGACCUCAAAUCAGGUGGGACUACCCGCUGAACUUAAGCAUAUC